rnacentral:rRNA from 1 species
UUUUAUUUGAGAGUUUGAUCCUGGCUCAGGAUGAACGCUGGCGGCGUGCCUAACACAUGCAAGUUGAGCGAUUUACUUCGGUAAAGAGCGGCGGACGGGUGAGUAACGCGUGGGUAACCUACCCUGUACACACGGAUAACAUACCGAAAGGUAUGCUAAUACGGGAUAAUAUAUUUGAGAGGCAUCUCUUGAAUAUCAAAGGUGAGCCAGUACAGGAUGGACCCGCGUCUGAUUAGCUAGUUGGUAAGGUAACGGCUUACCAAGGCGACGAUCAGUAGCCGACCUGAGAGGGUGAUCGGCCACAUUGGAACGGAGCCACGGUCGAAAAUCCUAAGGGAGGCAGGAGUGGGGAAUAUUGCGAAAUGGGCGAAAGGUUGACGCAGCAAGGCUGCGGGAGUGAUGAAGGCGGUCGGGUCGUAAAACUCUGUCCUCAAGGAAGAUAAUGACGGUACUUGAGGAGGAAGCGCCGGCUAACUACGUGCCAGCAGCCGAGGUAAUACGUAGGGGGCUAGCGUUAUCCGGAUUUACUGGGCGUAAAGGGUGCGUAGGCGGUCUUUCAAGUCAGGAGUGAAAGGCUACG